AAUAGAUACCCAGGUAGUCCACGCCGUAAACGAUGAGUGCUAAGUGUUAGGGGGGUUUCCGCCCCUUAGUGCUGCAGCUAACGCAUUAAGCACUCCGCCUGGGGAGUACGGUCGCAAGACUGAAACUCAAAGGAAUUGACGGGGGCCCGCACAAGCGGUGGAGCAUGUGGUUUAAUUCGAAGCAACGCGAAGAACCUUACCAGGUCUUGACAUCCCAUUGACCACUAUGGAGACAUAGUUUUCCCUUCGGGGACAACGGUGACAGGUGGUGCAUGGUUGUCGUCAGCUCGUGUCGUGAGAUGUUGGGUUAAGUCCCGCAACGAGCGCAACCCUUGUUCUUAGUUGCCAUCAUUUAGUUGGGCACUCUAAGGAGACUGCCGGUGACAAACCGGAGGAAGGUGGGGAUGACGUCAAAUCAUCAUGCCCCUUAUGACCUGGGCUACACACGUGCUACAAUGGACGGUACAAACGGUUGCCAACCCGCGAGGGGGAGCUAAUCCGUAUAAAACCGUUCUCAGUUCGGAUUGUAGGCUGCAACUCGCCUAC
rnacentral:rRNA from 1 species